UGGGGAUUAGUGGCGAACGGGUGAGUAACACGUGGGCAAUCUGCCCUUCACUCUGGGACAAGCCCUGGAAACGGGGUCUAAUACCGGAUAACACUCCCACGGGCAUCUGUGGGGGUUAAAAGCUCCGGCGGUGAAGGAUGAGCCCGCGGCCUAUCAGCUUGUUGGUGAGGUAACGGCUCACCAAGGCGACGACGGGUAGCCGGCCUGAGAGGGCGACCGGCCACACUGGGACUGAGACACGGCCCAGACUCCUACGGGAGGCAGCAGUGGGGAAUAUUGCACAAUGGGCGAAAGCCUGAUGCAGCGACGCCGCGUGAGGGAUGACGGCCUUCGGGUUGUAAACCUCUUUCAGCAGGGAAGAAGCGAAAGUGACGGUACCUGCAGAAGAAGCGCCGGCUAACUACGUGCCAGCAGCCGCGGUAAUACGUAGGGCGCGAGCGUUGUCCGGAAUUAUUGGGCGUAAAGAGCUCGUAGGCGGCUUGUCACGUCGGGUGUGAAAGACCGGGGCUUAACCCCGGUUCUGCAUUCGAUACGGGCUAGCUAGAGUGUGGUAGGGGAGAUCG
rnacentral:rRNA from 1 species